rnacentral:lncRNA from 1 species
AGGAAUGAUAUUGUACAUUAACCUGUACAUUUAUUAAAAUGUUAUAAGUGUCUCUAUUGGUGAAAAAAAGUCAUGUGACAACAGUGAACUAUUCCUGUAGACUUCUAUCUAACACCGGUGUUUCGCAUUAGUAAUUUGGCUGUUUACUUGUUUCGACGUCUGUGUCAACAGUAAUAGAGAAGGAAAGUUUUGUGAUUUGAUUGAGUGUUGUAAGAUCCCGAAACAGAUGCUAAAAGAUGUUUAACAGCUAUGAAAUUUGACAAACUAACUUCGGAACAAUUCGAUAACUACUGGAAAGCUUGCACACAAUAUCGUCUAAA